CCUUCGAUAGCUCAGUUGGUAGAGCGGUGGACUGUAGUAGGAGUCUAACUUAUCAGUAAUCCAUAGGUCGCUGGUUCAAAUCCGGCUCGAAGGA
rnacentral:tRNA from 1 species